GACGUAGGGACCAAGCGUUGUUCGGAUUUACUGGGCGUAAAGGGCGCGUAGGCGGCAAUUCAAGUCAUCUGUGAAAUCUCCGGGCUUAACUCGGAACGGUCAGAUGAUACUGCUUUGCUAGAGUGCAGAAGGGGCAAUCGGAAUUCUUGGUGUAGCGGUGAAAUGCGUAGAUAUCAAGAGGAACACCUGAGGUGAAGACGGGUUGCUGGGCUGACACUGACGCUGAGGCGCGAAAGCCAGGGGAGCAAACGGG
rnacentral:rRNA from 1 species